rnacentral:siRNA from 1 species
UUCUAUGAUGAAAAAUCUCAGC